CCUACGGGAGGCUUCAGUGGGGAAUAUUGCACAAUGGAGGAAACUCUGAUGCAGCGACGCCGCGUGGAGGAAGAAGGUCUUCGGAUUGUACACUCCUGUCUUUGGGGACGAUAAUGACGGUACCCAAGGAGGAAGCACCGGCUAACUACGUGCCAGCAGCCGCGGUAAAACGUAGGGUGCAAGCGUUGUCCGGAAUUACUGGGUGUAGAGGGAGCGCAGGCGGAAGGGCAAGUUGGGAGUGAAAACUAUGGGCUCAACUCAUAGAUUGCUUUCAAAACUGCUUUUCUUGAGUGGGGUAGAGCUAGGCGGAAUUCCCGGUGUAGCGGUGGAAUGCGUAGAUAUCGGGAGGAACACCAGUGGCGAAGGCGGCCUACUGGGCACUAACUGACGCUGAGGCUCGAAAGUAUGGGUAGCAAACA
rnacentral:rRNA from 1 species